GGCUCCAUGGCUCAGUGGCAGAGCGCCUGUCUAGUAAACAGGAGAUCGUGGGUUCGAUACCCACUGGAGCCU
rnacentral:tRNA from 1 species